UUCGUAGUUUUUACUGUACCCUUUUACAGUGAGCUGCGAAAUUAUGAAUGAAUUCAUUAAUUAAGUCGCCAUGCACUUUUACGGCUGAUGGUACAAUAGCUUCGGGUAGAUUGCAAUGGUGGAAAUGCAUCAUGUUGCCCAAUUCUUGCAAGACAUUAUUUAAUUCAAAUUGAUAUGGCUGGAUUGGGUGUAUCAAUAGAGAAGUGGUUCCGUAGCCAAAUGGCAAAAAACGGAGCCCUUAUAGAUUCGUCAUGUCCGUCUGUCUGUCCGAUUAUGUCACCGCCACUUUUUUCCGAAACUAUAAGAGCUAUACUGUUCAAACUUGGUAAGUAGAUGUAUUCUAUGAACCGCAUUAGGAUUUUUACACAAAAAUAGAAAAAAAAAACAAUAAAUUUUGGG